rnacentral:rRNA from 1 species
GACGUAGGGGGCAAGCGUUGUCCGGAUUUAUUGGGCGUAAAGCGCACGUAGGCGGUUCGUUAUGUCGGAUGUGAAAGCCCUUGGCUUAACCGAGGAAGUGCAUCCGAAACUGGCGAGCUAGAGUACGAAAGAGGAUCGCGGAAUUCCCGGUGUAGAGGUGAAAUUCGUAGAUAUCGGGAGGAACACCGGUGGCGAAGGCGGCGAUCUGGGUCGAUACUGACGCUGAGGUGCGAAAGCGUGGGGAGCAAACAGG